UUACUGGUUGUUCAUGGCUGGUGUAUGAAAAUAUUGAGUAUGCUAUUUUUUUCUUGUAUCUUUUAACCUUGCUAAACUGGUUUAUUAGACUUUUGUGAAUUCCUUAAAAUUUUCUAUAUAAUGUCAUUGGCAAAUAGAUUUAUUUCUUCCUUUUCAAUUUGGCUGCCUUUUAUUUAUUUUUCUUUGCUAAUUGCUCUGGCUAGAAACUGUGCAUACCAGUGGAACAGUCAUUUUUUCAAAUUUUAUGGAUUAGUUUUCAAAGGGAGAGACUGUUUCCUGCACUUGAGUCCUAGGAUGUUGUUUAAGUAUGGUACGUUGGCUUUGGUUUUAGAUGGACUCAGUAGCAUGGUCUCUAUGCAUUUUCUUUAGCUGAAAUCCUCAUUCAUAGUGUCUGCAAUUUUGUCAGGGCCUAGGUUGUUGGUUUGUGAUGGCAGUGGUAGGAUUUUCCUGGGUAAGGUGGUGUGGGGGUAGGGGUUGCUGGGUUGGCGGGCAGGACAAGUGUGUUUGUGUAUCAGAUUGUCCACCUGUGUGUCAUCUUCCCUCCUGUGCAGGUCCACCUAUUCCUUCCCUUGUGAGUUGGGUGCUCCAUGGUUUUGAACACCAAAAUCUUAGCCAUUCUACACAGCAAUAGGCUCCAAGCAGCUAGGGUAGUGGUGAUGUAACCACUCAUGUGAAAAUACUGGAAUGAAGGCCUGACUUCAGGGCUACGGAGACAUAGUGGCUACUGGAUCCCAGGGUAGGACUCACUCUAGUAGUGGGGCCCAGUUUCAAGACGGUACUGUGUUAUACAGCUUUAGUAUGGAGAAUGGGGUGUGUGUGCACACACCAAAUGGGCUGCUGUUUUGAGGCAAUGCCAUUACAGGAACUCUAGGCAACCCUCCUAACUGAUUUAGGGCAUGCGAAGACUAUCUACCUCUCCUGUAGCAAAAGCCACAGGCAGCUGCAGCAGUGAUGAGGACUGCUGGGCAGCUAUAGCUUGCCCUCUUCCCGUAAGAAGUUCAUCCUGGCUUUGAGCUGAUCUCAACAGGGAAAACAGUGUGGCUGAGACAGAGUUCUUCGCUCCCCUCUCUAUGGUGCUAUUCUGAGUUUCUAUGCUCCAUGAGGAUUUCGCAAUUGCCCUGGUGCUCUCCAGUGUACUCCCUCAUUCACUCUAGUGGAAAUAGAGGUUUUAGUCAUUGUUUUGGUCCCUUUUUGCGGGGGAAGAUGGAUGCCAGGCAAGUCUAGACAGCUAUCUUGCUGACAUGCCAGUCCACAACUUUUUUCAGUUGUCUUAAUUUGUAGCCAUCUUGUUCAGAUUAAAAUAAACUUAAUUUCAAUAAUAUGUACAAAUUUUGCAGUUAUAUAGCUAUAUUUCCUCCUGCCUCCUUUGUGCUGUUAUUUACUAAAUUUAUUUUGGUCUGAAGGAUUACCUUUAGUAUUUCUUGUAGAGCUGUCUGCUAGUGAUAUAUCCUCUCAGUUGUUUAUUAGAAAUGUCUUAACUUCCCUUUCCUUAGUUUUUUGACUAUAUUUAAAAUUUCAGCGCAGAAUUUUGUGCUGUUAUUGUAAUACAAGUUAAAUUUAUACAUCGUAUGUGCACAACACAGAUUCAUGAUUAUUGCUUUAAAAGGGUUUUAAAUAAUAAGUUAGAAAAGUGAGAGUUACAAAUAAAAAAUAUAUUUAUACAGUCUUGCAUAUGUAGUCACUUUUUCUAAUGCUCUUUAUUUUCUUUAUUUGAAUUUGAGUUACUAUCUAAUGUCCUUUAAUGUUAGUGUGAAGGACUAUCUUUAGUAUUCCUUGUAGAGCAAUCUGCUAGUGAUAAAUCCUCACUGUUGUUUAUUAGGAAUGUCUUCAUUUUUUGAAGAAUAUUAAAAAAAAGCUGUAUAUAAAACUGUAUGUCAACAUCUUGGUUGACAUUUAUUUUAACAUUGAGAAUAUGUAAUUCCAUUGCUUCUGGCUUCCAUGGUUCCUCAUGAAAAAUUAUUUGUUAUUUUUAUUGAGAAUCCCUUGACCUUAUAAAUUGUUUCCUUCUUUCAGUUUCAAGGUUCUUUCUUUGUCCUUUGCCAGUUUCAUUAUGAUGUAUCUAGGUAUAGAUCUCUUUGACUUUAUCAUAUUUCAAGUUUGUUGAGUUUUUCCUUCUAAUUUGGAAAGUUUUCAGUCAUUAUUUUUAAUUUUUCCCCCCUUAUGCUUGACAUCUGAGACUAUAUUUAUGCAUGUUUUUAGGCUUGAUUGUGAGUCUCUGCUUAUUUUUAAAAUUCUCUUUUAUUUCUAUUACCUAGACUGGAUAAUCUCAAUGGACCCUAUCUUAAAGUUCACUGAUUCUUUCAUUUGCCUGUUGAAAUCUGUUGUUGAGCCCUUGUAGGAAAUUUUAAUUUCAAUUAUUUAUUUUUCAACUCCAGAAUUACUAUUCAGUUCAUUUUCAUAAUUACCUAUCUACUGAUAUUUUCUAUUUUCUGAAAUGUCAUUCUCAUACUUAAUGUAAUUAUUUAGAUAUAGUUUCCUUAGUUCUUUAACCAUAUUUAAAAUUUCUAACUUAAAGUCUGUGUCUAACAAGUCCAAGGGCUGGAUUUUCUCAUGGGUAAUUUCCACGGGUUACUCUGUUUUUCUGUAUAUAGACUAUUCUUUGUCUUUGCAUGUUCUAUUUUUUUUUUCUGAAAGCUGGAUAUUUAAAAUAAUUUGAUGUGGCACUGAAAAUCAGAUUUACCUCCUUCUAGGGUUUGCUGGUGGUAGUGGUUUUCUGAAAUAAUUCUGCAAAGCCUGCAUUUGUUGUUGCUGUUAUUGUCAUGGGUAGCCACUGAAGUUUCAGCUUAGUGGUCAGAUAAUGAUCAGACAGAAAUUAUUUUACAUGCCUAGAACAAAUAAAUCCCCAAGUUUUUGUUGAGAGGCUCUGUGUACAUUUUGGAGCAUGGCUUCCACACUCAGUCAAGAACUUGACAAUUCUGCCUCAGCCUUUACUUCAUGCUUAUACAAAGCUUCAAGUUUAGCCAGAACUGAGAGCACAGGGCAUUCUCUGUUUUUCCUGACAAUAUGCGUAGUCCUGAGUUUACACAUGGCUCCACAUAUGCAAGUAGCCUUUUAGAUUCCCAGGAAUAUAUCAGAGCUUUUCAAAGUUCCCUAUGAACAUCUCAGAUUUUCCUUUGAAGCCUUUUGGUUAAUGUAUUGUUUGUAUCAACUGUGUCUUACUGCUUCAAGGAGCUGCCAUAUUCAAGAUUGUUUUCAACAAAUGCCCCGGAGGGAAAGAUUGUUUGCAUUAGAUAACUCCUGAAGCAGAUCUUUUAAGGACAACCUUUUGAUUAGGGUCUUCCAGGGAACCUCCAGAGAGGUCAAAUCAUUGUAAUUUUCUGGGAAUGGGGAUUUGAAGAAACUCCAACCUUGUUUUGCCCUUUCCAGUGACUAUAAUGCUGCUGCUUUUCAUUGUGAUUGUGGGUUGUUGAUUUUAUAUGUACUGUGGAGCUGGAGGAGGUAGAGUGGAUUGGAAUAGGGCAAGUUAAAAUGCCACAAAGCUCUCUGUGCUUACUGCGAUUCAGCCAUUUUUCUGAAUAAACACUCUGGAUUGCUGCAAGCUUUUGGUUCUUUUCCAGACUUCUGAAAAAGUUAAUUCUGACAAUUUUUGCUGGUUUUCUCAUUGCUUUUAUGGGGCGGGGAGAGGAUUUUCAGAAGUCAUUACUUUGUCAUUUUCACUGAAAUCACUUCAAGUUCUAUCCUUUUAAUGAAAUGUUUUUAAAAAGGAAUUCUCAAGUUCCGUUUUAAUCACGCCUAAAUGAGCCACUAUUUAUUAAACUUAUAUUGAAUUGAUAAGAACAGAAUUUAGUUUAACUCACCUGGCAACCUUGGUGGAAAAUGAAGUCAGCUGAGCCGUUACUCUUUCUCUAAACAAUGCUGACUGAAUGCAAUGUCACUUUGAUAGACAUUACUGUCAAACAAAAUGUUCAACAUUAUUUCGUUGCUACAUUUGAUACUAUGUUGAGUGUUGAAUAGAUGGAGUGAAAAGAUCAUUAUUCUCAGUUUCUGGUAGCACCACCUACUCUAGUCAUGACCAGGUAUUGACUUUUACUUAGAAAUUUUGUCUGAAUGGAUGAUGCCUUGUACCAACUAGAUUAUUAUUACUUACAUUUUGUUUCUUGGGGAGUACUUUAAGACUGCAUAAUUUCAAUCUCGGAUCCUUAGAAUCCUAAACUUUUAGAGAUGGAAACAUCCUUAGGUAUCAUCUAGUCUGUCAUGUCUCAAAACGUGUUCUAGAGGUGUUUAUAAAUGCAAAGGGACAAUCCCGUGAAGAAACAAUUUGAGUAAAUGUGGCUUAAACAAAGUCAAGGAGGUUUAUUUACUGCUAGGGUUUUUGUAACAUUCAAUAUGUUACUUUAUACUGUAAAUUUCUAGAAGGGGACAACAACCUGUUGCAUUUCCCUAAUUAAUUGGAGAAUGGAUUCUUUUUAUUGAAACAGAUCUCCUAGAAAAUGUUCUGUAGGGUUAGGAAAACACUGACCUAAUUCAGUAUCAUUAUUUUAUCUAUUAAGAGAUUGAAGCUCAGGACUGCCAGAUUUAACAAAUUACAAUGCAAGUCUCCCAGCUAAAUUUAAAUUUCAAGUAAAUAAUGAAUAACUUUUUAUCAUUUGUAUGAGGCAUACUUAUACUCUACUAAAAUUAUGUUACUUAUAUGAAAUUUAUAUUUAGAUGAGCAUUCUCUGUUUUCACCUGCUGAUCCUAGCAAUUGGCUUGUCCAAAAUGACACAGCAAGUGCUUAGAAGAACUGGGGCUAAAAUAAAGUUUUUAUACUCUUGCUCAGUGGUUUUAUUCUCUAAGGUACAUAGCAUGGCUAAGGGUUUAAUGGCAUUCUGGUCUACUAAGGAGAUACUACAAUACGUAUAGAACCACUUCACUCUUCUGUGACAUUCUAUCAACGUGUCUGCCUAACAAACUAGCAGGAGAAUACUACAACCAAUAUUAAUGUAAUUGUAAAAUAACAAUGAUAAUGAUGGCUGAUCUUUAUUGGAUGCUUACUACAUGCCAAUUACUGUUCCAAGAGACUUCCACCUUUUAUCAUUUUUGCCCCCACAACAGCCCUAUAGGCAGGCGCCAUUAUUCCAUGUUACAUAUGCAGGAACUGAGGCACAAGAGGUUAAGCAAAUUGGCCAAGAUCUCUCACAGCAAAUAAGUUGCAGAGCUGAGGAAGAACUUCUAGAAAAGGAAAAUUAUAUUUCAAAAAAUUAUCCCUUUUAAAAGAUAUACCAUAAUUGAGAAGAAGUAAAGCUAACUUUCUUUUUGAUCAAAUCUCUGGAGGCUUGUUUGAACUCACUUUUAAGAAAUAAAACCGUUGUCUGACAGAUGAAUAUCUUUGUUGCAAAGGAAAUUUAUAUAAUACAGCUCCUCCUAAGCAAGGUAAAGCAUAAAAAAGAGCUCUAUGUUGGGUGGUGACGUCUCUUUCUAGGUGAAGGUUAGAGGCAUACCCAUAGGUCUAAGACUUGGAGCUGCAAAUAGAAAUAGGUCCUGCACAUGGUACCUGAGUUUGUAAGUGGAGGACAAAACCCACGUCUUAUCACUCCUCUUUCCUCGGUAGAAUGUAGAGCAAAAACUGGCAUGUGGAAAGAGCUCAGUAAGAUAUAAAAACAUCUUUCUAGGAGAUACGUUUUAAUAAAAAAGGUCUGUUCUCUAAUUAAUUACUUAAGGACAAAAGACCCUCACUAAUUCUUUGAGUAGAGACACACACUCAUAGCACCCACCACCAAAAUCUUUCUUUCCCUAGGAAAGGCAGUGGUGCAUGUGAGAAUGGCUUCAGAUUCUCUUCCUUUUUGACACUGGAACCUGACAUUCUUUUGGAUUAAGGACCUAACUACCUCUACCUGACUAGCUCAUAGAUUCCUUGGCUGGAAAGCUGCCUUGGAGAGUAAGAAAAUUGAGGUUUCAAGAAAAUUAACGUGAAGGGGCACAAGCCUUUCAAAGCUGUCAUAUUAGCAUGUUGACCAUCAUUCUCUGCAUAUUUGGGGUAUAGAGGAAAAGGUGGCCAGGGACAUGGUGGAAUGUGAUUUCAUCUCAAUGAUCAGCCCGAGUCUGUGAAUCUCCUCACUCACAUGGCUUUCCUCACUGAUACCCAGCCCUUAGUUAUCGAGUCCCUUUGGCAAACAAGGGAUCCAUUUCCUCUUGAGCUCUUGUCAAAACCAUUUUUAAUUAUUAUAGAUUUAUGGCUCAAAAAAUCUGAGAAAUUCUAAAUUAGUGGCUUAAAACAUCAGCCGAAUCUACCGUAUUCCAUUUUUAUGAUUACAACUAAUAUCAAUAAUAGCUAUCAUUUGUUACGGGCCUACCUUGUUCCAUGUAUUCUAUUAAGCACGUUACAUACAUUAACUCAUUAAUCAAAUGGGCACUAAUAUUUCCCUGAAGGAAUACAUUUAUGCUCAGAGAGGUUAAGUAACUUACCUAAUGUUUCACAAUGAGGUGGUAGUCUGAGAAUAAAUGUUCAUUAAAGUACUGCAGUAAAAAUUUUACUCUUUUAGGCUAAUGGAAAUGAGGCAACCUGAAUUUGCGAGAUUCAUAUUUUAAAACGCUAUGUUUAAAGCUAAAGAGUUUACCACCUUCUCACGCAUUGAGUAACUUAAAUUAUGUAUGCAAAGAACAGCUGCCUUGCAGGGGGUCUUGGAAGAUCUACAGAUGAGCCUUAUUUAUAAUUAGAAUGCCACUCUUUAAGCAUUAUUUAUAAUUAACAUGUCAGUGAUUUAUAAUUGGAGAAAUACUUCUAAAUUAUGUUUAAAAGACUAAUAAACAGUUUGUUUUAAACUAUUUAAAUGAUCAUUCUUUUCAUCCUUGAUUUGAUUGCCAAACUUCAGGCCAGUUCUGAAACUGACUCUGAAGUAAUGAAAGCAUAGACUAAUGCAGUUUAAUAUAAAGGAUUUGUAGCCACCCUUGUGUGGCUUUCUUAUUUAAAAUACAUCUCUCCUUGACUGGCGCUGGCUGUUUGGAUAUCUGUAAGAUUCACCCUUUGCAAGAAUAGAAUCAAAGCCUCUAAGGAAUUGGAUUUAAUUCUAAGAACGUGGAAUUUUCCUUUGAAGUGACCCUUUAAAAAUUUUAGCAAGUUCCUGCCUUAAUAUCCAACUUGUAUGCCUCACUGAGUGUUCAUGAGAUUAGCAGCCAUCACUAGUUCUUUGUCUGGAAGCUGAAAUGAAAAGCUAAGGGUUGCAGUGGGCUUUAAGAACACUGUUCCGGCUUCGAGCCCCCAUGCCUGUCUUGGUCCAAAUGACUCAGAUACAGUACUACAGCUGUUUCAGCAUUCUUGGGUUUUGUUUGCCAGCUCUAUUGGAGACUAAAGCUUAUAUAAGUAAUAUAAAACCUUAGCAUUUACAACAUAAAGCCACCACAAGAACUCACAGACAUUAAGUGUUGGUAAGAUUUUGUUUGGAGGAAUUUUAUUUUAAAAUGUAAUAUCCUUUUCCUUUCUUUGGCAAAAUAGAAUCAGGAGAACUUGGAUGGAACUCUACUGCUUAUGAAAAGUCUCACCCUGUUCUUAUAAGCAAGUCUGUCACCCUUGAUUGGAAAGUAAUAAUUCAUAAAACUUAAUGUUAUUAUCGUUCCUCUGCCUGGAGUGAUAGAUAUUCUUGAGGCUUUUUAAAUAAAAAGUUUAAAAUUGAAUUUGCAACUCAAAAGAUUGGUAAGUUCAAAUGUUAGUUUCCUGCUGAGUAACUGUGAAAACAAUUCCAAAGUAGCCAGUAGUGUGUUAGGAAUGGCAGUUUUAUUAAAUGACUUGAUGAAGUGCAAUGAAAACACACUUUCAGUGUCUUUUUGCAGCCUUUCCUACAAAAAUAAUAGUUUUCUUAUAGAUGUUAGUGUUUGCCUUCACUCUACUUCUUUGGUUUUUCUUCCAGUUCAGGUUUUAUGCAAAGUUGUUCAAUAACAAGGCGAGAGUUGGUUUUAUUCAUAGCAGACCAAGUAGGGUUCUCAUGUAUGAACUGAUUGUCUGACACUGCUUGGAGAUUACUGGUUUGCAUUUCACCAUGUAAUUGGUAGUAAAAAGUCUUAAAGUAUGAUGAAAAAUCCCUUUGGUCUAAAAUGUGGCACUGAGCAUUGUGUUCUCAUGACAGCAUGCCUUCUAAAGUCACAAAUCUUCAGUGAAGUCCUUGAAGGAACUGGGUCUUGCUGGAGGAAAGAGAAUGACCCAGAUGUGGGAAGGUUGCUCUAGCCCAAUAGAAAACCAGCAAGUUCAUUUAAAAAGGAUUCCUUCCUUUCUGGGCAGGGAUGUAGCCUUGUGAGACUGGAGGCCUAUCCUCAGUGCCCCUUGCAUGAAGACACUGUCUACUGUUGCUUAGCUCCUCAGGGAUAACGGAGAGUAAGGAAGCCUCAGACUGCCAAGUGACUGGAUGAUUAAGUGCAUCCUUGAACUUCUGCUAAGACGUCAGCAAAACCCUCAUGUCGGCCAACUUUGGGGAUUCUCUGUUUUAUAUUGGUCUCUGGUAUAAAAUAGCUCUGGUUCAUUUUAUCCGUACCAUUCAACAUGCUGAGUGCUGCAAGUCCCACUCUGUAAUUUGUGUGUACAUUUGUAUACAUGUUUUCUUUUUCAGUGUUUAUCCUUAACAGAAUAAAAUAGUUGCUCUAACUCUACAACAUUUCCGCAGAAGCAUAGCUACAACACUGAUGAAAAGAGGACCUAUGACCUACUCACAUUUUAAAACCCCCAAAUUAAAUCUCUUCUUUCCUGUGCAUCUCAGUUUUGUGAUUUUGUUUCUAAUAUCUACAUUAGAAAAAAUAUAUAGCUGCCUGCUGGAGUUUUGGUGAAGAUUUUGGCCCCACCUUUAAGACAUGGAGGGAAUGUCUAGCAUUCUUCAUGGAAAUAUGCCUGUGAGGAGCAUUAGCUCCUGUUAUAGAGGGAGAAUAGCUAGCAGGUAGAGGUCUCAGGGAGAAAUCUUCCCUAUUGCUAUCGAAGAGGCCAAGCCAUCUUGAUUUACCAUUUCAUGUCCCACUUCCCUUCCCAUCUCUAGCCUCUCCCUUCUUAUGGUAGGAAGAAUAAUGGCCCCCUCAAAGCUGUCCAGGUCCUAAUCCCCAGAACCUAUGAAUAUGUUACCUUACAAGGUAAAAGGAAUUUUGCAUAUGUUAUUAAGUUAAGGAUCUUGGAAUAGGGCCAUUAUCCGAGAUUAUCCAGGGAGCCCAAUGUCCUUGAAAGAGGAAUGCAAGAAGGUCAUACAGUGUGACAAGAGAAACAGAGAUUGAAGUGAUGCAGAAUGAGCGUUUCACUGGUACUACUCAUUUGGAAGCAAAUUAACUUCAGAAAUGUAAAAGUAAUGAUGAAAUUUCUUGUACAAGUCAUGUUCAGUGCAAGGGUCUCAAAAUCCUUCACAAUAGACUAUUAUUAGAACUCUUGAUAUUUAUGCUCAUUUUCUAACUUCCAGUCUAGAAGACAAUAUCCUUUCCUCCUUGGAGAAUUCUGAAUGGUGCCUGUAGGAGUGGAGGCUGGCCUGAUGUUCCUCUUAUUUCCUGUUUUUCUAUGUUUAUUACUUGUAAGAUGGCAUUCCUUGUAUGUGGGCCGUUAAGGGACUUCCAGCACUAAAAGCAGGAACGUCCCAGGCAAACUGGGACAAGUUGGUCACCCUGAGUAGAAGACAGAGUGUGGACUCCUGUGAGGAUCAGAGAAAAAUGGUUUGAAACGGCGAUUUCAGAACUUCCCAUAUUUACUGUAAUUUCAAGAGAAAGGUGACAUUUCUGAGUCCUUCCUGUGAGUGAUCUAGGAUAUUUUUAUCUUUCAGAGUUGCAAAAGAUGUUCCAUUUUCCAUGUUUUUCCUUCUUUACCUUCAUGUCCAGGCUAGAGCAGCACUGGAUAUGUAAGACAAUGGGAGAGACUCCAGGUCAGAAAGCCAGCCAUAAGCUCUUGACUAAUGGAAGCCAUGUGUCCCUGGCAGGAAAGGUACUUCCAGGGGCUCCAUUAGAUGGUCACUGCCUGUCCACAGCAGCCAGCGCCUUCAUGACAGCAUGCCCUCAAGAGUUUUCUAAAUAGGAGUUUUCCAAAAACAACACCACAAAGUGCAUCCCUCUUCUCUUAGUGAUGGUCUGUGGAGUGGCCAAGGGUAGACUUGGGUAGCAAGAGUAUAAUCACUUUUUAUUUUUGGAAACAAAAAGCAUGUCUACUUAUUGGCAGCUAAAAUGCUGGCAUAGGCCAGAGAGAGAAGUUUAGAUUACAUGGCUUUCCAAUGCCCUUGUUUAUGUAAACCAACCCCUGGGGCAAUGGCUUUGGCAAAUCUCUCAAUAGUUGCCUUUGAGGAAAUCUACCAGAAGUCUUAUUCUUUUGUUUUGAAAUGUGAAUAUCAAUUGUAAAAAAAUGAAACAAAACUCAAUAAAAUAAAACAAUCCUUUCAGUGAA